rnacentral:rRNA from 1 species
AUUGAACGCUGGCGGCAGGCUUAACACAUGCAAGUCGAGCGGAGCGAGGGUGCUUGCACCUUAGCUUAGCGGCGGACGGGUGAGUAAUGCUUAGGAAUCUGCCUAUUAGUGGGGGACAACAUUCCGAAAGGGAUGCUAAUACCGCAUACGCCCUACGGGGGAAAGCAGGGGAUCUUCGGACCUUGCGCUAAUAGAUGAGCCUAAGUCGGAUUAGCUAGUUGGUGGGGUAAAGGCCUACCAAGGCGACGAUCUGUAGCGGGUCUGAGAGGAUGAUCCGCCACACUGGGACUGAGACACGGCCCAGACUCCUACGGGAGGCAGCAGUGGGGAAUAUUGGACAAUGGGGGGAACCCUGAUCCAGCCAUGCCGCGUGUGUGAAGAAGGCCUUUUGGUUGUAAAGCACUUUAAGCGAGGAGGAGGCGCUCUAGGAUAAUACCCUAGAU